AAACCAGCCAGUGAGUCUGCUUACCUGAGUGUGUUUCCACAAAAAUUUAGAGAAAGCUGGCAAUAGUAAAGCCAUGUUACGAGCCUUAAAGACAUUGAAGUCAUUAAGGUCCCUGAAAAUGGCUAUAAAA